rnacentral:misc_RNA from 1 species
GUAGGUGAACCUGCGGAAGGAUCAUUAACACGUAUCCAAACGUGAAAACCCCCCCCCCGUGUCUUGUAAGCCGCGUAGUUCGCAAUCUCUGGGAAAUCAAAGUGGGAGGAAAGUUGUUUGAUUCAGAGACAUUGGAACAGUUACAAUCGAGCGGUAGUUUCAUAGGCAUUGUUUCCGUCAGGAAAGUGUCACUUAUUGUGCAAGGAUAGCGCUUCACGAUUCCUGUUGGGCACGAGCUAUGCCAAAGGGUCCCCAUGUCCCCUAAUAAUCCCACAGUUUAACGUAAAGCUACAUUGGCUACAAAAACCGAACAACUGAACAAUGGAUAUCUUGUUCUC